rnacentral:rRNA from 1 species
GAUGAACGCUGGCGGCGUGCCUAAUACAUGCAAGUAGAACGCUGAAGGAGGAGCUUGCUCUUCUGGAUGAGUUGCGAACGGGUGAGUAACGCGUAGGUAACCUGCCUGGUAGCGGGGGAUAACUAUUGGAAACGAUAGCUAAUACCGCAUGACAACAGUUAUUGCAUGAUAACUGUUUAAAAGGGGCAACUGCUCCACUACCAGAUGGACCUGCGUUGUAUUAGCUAGUUGGUGAGGUAACGGCUCACCAAGGCGACGAUACAUACCCGACCUGAGAGGGGGAUCGGCCACAAUGGGAAUGGGACACGGCCCAGAAUCCUACGGGAGGCAGCAGUAGGGAAUCUUCGGAAAUGGACGGAAGGCUGACCGAGCAACGACGCGGGAGUGAAGAAGGGUUUCGGAUCGUAAAGCUCUGUUGUAAGAGAAGAACGAGUGUGAGAGUGGAAAGUUCACACUGUGACGGUAUCUUACCAGAAAGGGACGGCUAACUACGUG